rnacentral:lncRNA from 1 species
GAUGAGAGCACAAAAGUGCGAUCUACACAUCACUCAAAUUAGUAUUAUUGCUAACAAAUGAUGAUAGAAGUGCUGUAUUAAUAUUAUAUUUUUGUGGGGUGCAGGUGAUCGUAAAUUAAAGUUAAAAUAUGCAUUGGGUCCAAAAAGAUGCAUCACCAUAUGUGACCAGCCAACCGUAUGGGUCAACCUCAGUUGCAUACUAGAAGGAGGUUAAGUUCAGCCUUUUAGGUUCACUGCAGCCAAUUCAAAGCAGCCUGUGCACCCGUUUGUGAUUCUCCCACUUCAUCCCA